GUCGAGACAGGCAGGCAGCCUGCACUCACUGAACGAGAUAGAAUUAACCUUUCUCAUAAAACUAGGACGUCUGCUACUUGCCCCUCAAAAAGAAGUCGUUGGUCUGUCACAUUUCUGUAACAUCAUAUUGAGCUUACAUAGCCUACCUACAUACAAGUAGGAUGCAGAAUCAAUGUAUUAAGGUAGGGUCACCGGGGACAGCUCCCGUUUUUGGUAGCCUGUCCCCGGCUGGAGAUGUCCCCGGAAAUGUCCCCGUUUUUAACUGUGCGUUAAAAACAGACCGCAAAGUGAAAUAAUAUUUUAAGUGGCAAGAAAGACCGGGCAGCAGAGCAGUUGACAUCUCAAUCGCGUUGUGCUUGUUUUGGCCAACAGAUGGGGCUGGCGGGCUGCUCGUUAUAGCAGCUUCAUAUCACUUCUUCUUCUACUAACUACUUGCUUGCGCUUGUUUUAGAGAAAACUGCUGUGGAAAACUUAGCCAGAAGCUAGCAAAUGUCAAGUGAAUCCACAACAUUACCACAGACGUCUUUUCAAAACCAUAGUUUAUUACAGUACAACAGUUACCAUGGUCAAAAUACAUUAAACCAGAAUUGUCCCCCUUUUUUAUUUCAUAGAUAGUAACAUUGGAUAUUUAAAUUAUAUAUUGACCGCCGAACUGGAAAUAUCCCCGGUUUUCAUUUCAGAAAUCUGGUCACCUUAUAUUAAGGUUCGGUACAUUUGCAUGUAUCAACUUGAAGGAACCGGUCCGGUACUGUGAAAAGAAUCGGUCCGCCCACCACUAUUACAAAUAAUAUUCCCCCUUCAUUGAUGGGUGAUGAUGGCACUAGACGUUUUCUGUUGAGGCGGGGGAGCCGACUCCAGUGCUCUUCCACUAGCAAUGCCACUUGAUCACUUGAAGAAUCAUUCAAAUUAAUAACGAGACUGUCCAAUCAGUACAGUGGAGAACAAGGGGUGAUCCAAAGGCUUUAGACCAAAGCAAAGGGCUGCACUGACUGCAUCUGCCAUCCACCAUUCCAAUCAAACAAAUUCAAAGAUGGCAGAUCAAGAAGCUGACUCAAUCGAUAAUCUGUGGCCGCACCUUCUACUUUUUAAGCCCAAAGUAGGAAAGGAAAUAAUAUUUUAAUGAAAUGCUGCUUCUGCUUCACCGAAAUUUCAACCUUCAAAAACUCAACAUCGAACCUACGGAAGCAUAUCGAAAGAGAAGCUGGAUAACUGCAUGAAGCCCACGCAUCUGCAGCGGCAUCUAAACACUGAACGCAUCGCAUGUCGAAUCCGGUGGAGACGCAGGAUCACAUCCCUCUUCCUGCUUUAAAGAGGGAUCCCCUCAGCUGUCUCCCCGACGUCGCUACCCCUAAAUUCGGUUACUUUACUUUACUUUAAAGACCAGCGACUUUAGUUGUUGAGUUCGGUUUUGUUUUGUCUAUAAUUUUGAUUAAAUAAAAGGCCCUGUUGGGCUAUUUUUCCCCAAA